UGGCCCGUAGUUCAACUGGUAGAACGUCUGACUCUGGAUCAGAAGGUUCGGGGUUCGAGUCCCUGCGGGCCAG
rnacentral:tRNA from 1 species